rnacentral:RNase_P_RNA from 5 species
GCUUCUACCAAGAUGAUCGAGCUCCGACGUAAAGUCGAGGUUAGGAAAGUCCGAACUCCGCCCAUUCAAUUGGAAAAGGUAAUGGAUAACAUCCACCUGCGACGCGGUAACGCGGCGUACGGGAUAGUGCCACAGAGACAAUACUAAUCGCGAAGUGAUUAUCCUGAGCGAGGUCGAAGGAUACCCUUCGAUUCACUUCGUUCACUCAGGGUCACCACUUCGUGGUGAAACGUGAAAAGUGUAUGGAUGUUUUUGUCCUCGAGUCAAAAGCUACCAUACUUCUGUUAUGGCAACAUGACAACAUGGCAAACCCUACCUGGAGAAAGAGCAGCGUUUCCCGACUUGUCUGGAUUCGAAAAGUUAGCUCGUUAUUUGAUCCCGAUGGUAACAUCGGGACAAGAGAAAUGAUCAUCAUUCGACUCGCUUCGCUCGCUCAUGAUAAAUCCUUAAUUAUACAGGGACUUGUCCUGAGCGAGACCGAAGGUCGAGUCGAAGGACAAAAUUCGGCUUAUAUGGUAGAAGUAUAA